UACGUAGGGGGCAAGCGUUGUCCGGAAUCAUUGGGCGUAAAGAGCGUGUAGGCGGUCCUGUAAGUCCGCUGUGAAAGUCAAGGGCUCAACCCUUGAAUGCCGGUGGAUACUGCAGGACUAGAGUCCGGAAGAGGCGAGUGGAAUUCCUGGUGGUAGCGGUGAAAUGCGCAGAUAUCGGGAAGAACACCCGUGGCGAAGGCGGUUCUCUGGGACGGUACUGACGCUGAGACGCGAAAGCGUGGGGAGCGAAACAGG
rnacentral:rRNA from 1 species